rnacentral:rRNA from 1 species
CGGCGGACGGGUGAGUAAUGUCUGGGAAACUGCCUGAUGGAGGGGGAUAACUACUGGAAACGGUAGCUAAUACCGCAUAACGCCGCAAGACCAAAGAGGGGGACCUUAGGGCCUCUUGCCAUCGGAUGUGCCCAGAUGGGAUUAGCUAGUAGGUGGGGUAACGGCUCACCUAGGCGACGAUCCCUAGCUGGUCUGAGAGGAUGACCAGCCACACUGGAACUGAGACACGGUCCAG